rnacentral:lncRNA from 13 species
CAACAGUAAAAAUAAUUGUUUAAGAAAUUGUAUAGGAAAAAAUUAAUGCUAUAAAAACAGAGUAGUUUAAAAGUCUCCAUGUAAAAUUAACACAUUCCUGAGCAGCUCUGUUUUGUGCAUGUAUGAGCAGUCUCUCUUUGUGCUAAUGAUCCAAAGGAUCUAAAAACCAAAGCAGCUAUCCUGAGUCAGAUCUUCCUGUCACCCAUGAGGAUCCAUAGCAGGCACCUAGGGAAGGGUGUAAGGACAGUAUAAGGAUACAACAACACUGCCCUGGUAGAGUGCCCGAGCCUUCACCAAACAGAGGUGAGAAUCAGUAUAUCUUGGGUAAAUGAUGGGUAUUCUUCCAUGAAUUUAUCUUUUGGGCCUAUGUAAUUAUGUUCUCUUUAUUCUAGCAAAGCUCACACUGAAUUGGAAAUAACUGCUGGUUUAGAAUGCUAAACUGUGUUCUUGGAAGUCAGUGGAAGCUUUGCCUGAGUAAGCAGGGUAAGGACCAGAAAAUUAAAAGGCCCGACCGACCACAACCCUGGAGAGAAACAGAGAAACAAGGCAAGAGAGAAAGGGAGGAAGAGCCUGUUCCUUAUAUAUUUGACAGAUCCCUAUGACUGAACCUGGGACAGAUCUGGAGGAAGACAAAGCACUGCACAGCCAAGUUCCACACCAUCUGAUUUUCAUGUUCCUGGCCUGCAUAAUUGAAUCCAGAGUUUAGGGUAUUUAUACAGAAAAUGGAGGACAUUUUUUGCAUUUGGUGCACCCACAAAGUCAUCAUGUGGUACAGAGAGCAGGCACUCACUGAAGAGCACUAGGUUCUAGUCCCAGCUCCUACAACUAUUUUUGUACUUCUCCAGAACUGAAUAUUUCUCUAUUUUCUGUAUAAAAAAUACAGUGUUUCUGUAAAAUUUCAUAAUAAUUCCUCUUUUUCACCCAUGUGCCAUAACUGCAAGACUUAAAUGCUGACAGCACAUAGCGAGCAUUUUCUUUGGAAAGUGGAAUUGAAGAGGAGAAGAGAACCAUUCCUAUGUUCUAAAACAUCUUCUGCCUGCUGACUAAAGCAUGAUCCAAAGGAGGGGUUGGAUCCUUUGAGACAGACAAGGGAAUUGAACCUGGACCUCAUCCAUAUUUCUGUCUGUACUAAGCACUGAGCUUCAGUCUGAAGGGAAACAUUUUUCCACUGUGGGGCCAGCAUUUUCAGAGCUCACCUACUGGAUUGAACUCUACAGGGAGACAUGCAGAGGAAUGCCUCAUUUCUGGACACCUACUAGGCAUUAGCCUGAGUUAAUUACAAGGCUGCUCAGUCCUAUUAGAACUUAAGUACCUUUGAGAGCAUGAAUGAGCACUGCUGGAGUAUAUAACGCACCUCAUAAUAAAAAAUGUCUGAGCUUCCACUCAACCUUAUGAACCUCCAGGGUUUCAUGGAAGAUGUGUAAACAUUUUUAGGAUGGCAAUUUUGACCCAGGGCAUCUAAAUUCCACCUGACUUGAGCAUCAGUUGUUUAUGUCCUUUUCUGGGCCUCAUCCCAGAUUAGAACCCACAGCUCAGAAAUAAUCAUAAUAUCUGCAUAAUGCUGAUUUUCAGAACGAUUUAUAAAUAUUGAGUAAUUAAUCUUCAUAUUGCCCCUGAGCAAAUAUCUCCAUUUUACAUACAGAAAAAAAAAGUGAUAAAUUGCCAUAGGCUACAACGGACUCAGUACCAGAAUGAGAAUGGAAGAAUUCCUGGCUCUCAGAGUAGAACUUAGUUCAUGGCUCUCAGAAGAAAUGAGAAAAAAAUUCUUACUCUUCAGAAGGAAGAGUUGUGAUGUUGACAUGUUUUAAUUGAUGAAGGCCUUUUUCUUUUAAAGUGGUUUAUGUUGUAGAUUGGAGAUUUUUCAAAGUAUACACAAAACUUUGCAGCACUACCUUUCAGUUCUGGUAGACUGGUAUUAGCAACACUGAUGGGUAAAGAACUGAGAAAACAUGACCAAAACUGUAAAACUCAGCUUUUGUCUGGUGUUAGAAAGGAAUGACUGGAAAGACUAUAUUUAAUAUUAUGCCAGCCUGAUGCAUCAGGUAGACAAUCAGUCAAAUUGAAGAAAAGGCUUAUUAGAUCACUUAAUCAUUACCAUUGGCAGCACUGUCUGUACUACACUGACAUUGAAGUAUUUUAGGAAUCUUUAAGAUUUUACACUCCUGCUAUGUUUUUUAAGAUGGAAAAUCCAGAAGAAAAAAAAAAUUCUCCCUUUGUUGCUGAAGGAAUUUGAGAAUUCUAGGUGCCUGCAGGAGCUGUUGCUGGCAUGAAAGGACUGCCAGCUAAGAAGGCCUUCAUACCACAUUCUGGGUUUAACAGAACAGUUUGUAUAGACCCUUCCCUAAGUUCUCUUGCACAUCAUAUCAAUCUACUUUCUACACAGACAACUUAAGAGUAUGUUUGCCACUAUAAAGUUGCAAGUGCUGGAAAAUUCCUACAUAGGAAACCAUUUCCAGGCUGAAGUAUCAAAACUGAUAAAACAUGUCCAUAUUACUGAAAUGACAAACCACAAGCUUUAGCAACGAUGCGUCAAAUAUUUCCAUCAUAUCAAUUUUCAGAACUCCACAUCUUGAUAAACAAGUGUUGCUUUACAUCCAGUAAUGCAAUAUAUCAGUUUAAAUCCACAAAUAUUAGUUGAACACUGUUUGAUAUAUGUUUGCAUUCACAACAGGCAAAAAGACCAAAAAUACAAGUAAUUCAUUAUAGAAUAUAUUUCAUUUUUUUGUGUAUGUAAAGGUGUUACAUAUAUUGCCCAUGUGAUGUAUACAGGAGGUCUUAUCCCAGAGACCACACCUUCCAACAGAAAUGUCCAGCUGUAGGAGUUCUAAU